rnacentral:rRNA from 1 species
AGAGUUUGAUCCUGGCUCAGAUUGAACGCUGGCGGCAGGCUUAACACAUGCAAGUCGAGCGGUAACAGGAGAAGCUUGCUUCUCGCUGACGAGCGGCGGACGGGUGAGUAAUACUUAGGAAUCUACCUAGUAGUGGGGGAUAGCUCGGGGAAACUCGAAUUAAUACCGCAUACGACCUACGGGAGAAAGGGGGCAACUUGUUGCUCUCGCUAUUAGAUGAGCCUAAGUCGGAUUAGCUAGAUGGUGGGGUAAAGGCCUACCAUGGCGACGAUCUGUAGCUGGUCUGAGAGGAUGAUCAGCCACACCGGGACUGAGACACGGCCCGGACUCCUACGGGAGGCAGCAGUGGGGAAUAUUGGACAAUGGGGGCAACCCUGAUCCAGCCAUGCCGCGUGUGUGAAGAAGGCCUUUUGGUUGUAAAGCACUUUAAGCAGUGAAGAAGACUCCAUGGUUAAUACCCAUGGACGAUGACAUUAGCUGCAGAAUAAGCACCGGCUAACUCUGUGCCAGCAGCCGCGGUAUACAGAGGGUGCAAGCGUUAAUCGGAAUUACUGGGCGUAAAGCGAGCGUAGGUGGCUUGAUAAGUCAGAUGUGAAAGCCCCGGGCUUAACCUGGGAACGGCAUCUGAUACUGUUAGGCUAGAGUAGGUGAGAGGAAGGUAGAAUUCCAGGUGUAGCGGUGAAAUGCGUAGAGAUCUGGAGGAAUACCGAUGGCGAAGCAGCCUUCUGGCAUCAUACUGACACUGAGUUCGAAAGCGUGGUAGCAAACAGGAUUAGAUACCCUGGUAGUCCACGCCGUAAACGAUGUCUACUAGUCGUUGGGUCCC